UACGGAGGGGGCAAGCGUUAUUCGGAAUUAUUGGGCGUAAAGGGCGCGUAGGCGGCUCGAUAAGUCAAAGGUGAAAUCCCUCGGCUCAACUGAGGAACUGCCUUUGAAACUGUAGAGCUUGAGUCCGGGAGGGGGUAGCGGAAUUCCCAGUGUAGCGGUGAAAUGCGUAGAUAUCUGGAGGAACACCGAUGGCGAAGGCAAUCCCCUGGGCCUGCACUGACGCUCAUGCACGAAAGCGUGGGGAGCAAACAGG
rnacentral:rRNA from 1 species